CCACUAGUUUAUGUGUAAAUGUAUUUGUAUUGUUCUACCUGUAUAAUAAUUUUUGUGUGGAAAACAUUUUCCCACAGUUUUUAUUCGUUGGAUAGGUUGUUUUCAUAAGGUCUAACUUAUGAUGAACAAGUUCCACUCUGCCGUAAAUCACAUAAUUACAGGAAGAAAGAGAAAAGGAAGAAGAGACGAAAAGGAAAAGAAGGAGCAUACAAGGAAAAAGGAAGCUCAGAGGCAACUGUGUCCGAGCUCGACAUCUUACCCUGCGAAGACAAAACAAGCAAUUUCGCAGGGCGCAAUCAAAAAAUGAAGUGGUCAAUCAAAUAAUCAACCAUUGCUACAAAGUGCAGAAUCUACCACUAAUCCUGUUCAAACGCCUUCCAAAAACAGAAAUAAGUUCUAGUAAGUAAUUCUCUGUGCUCACCACAAUGGAAGGAAGGGAAGUGGUCAAUCAAGCAAUCAGAUAUGCCCGCCAAAUGGUUGCAUUUGCCAACACAAACCCUACAAAGACAACCAGCAAUUGUACUUUUUUAAUUUUUAGUUAUCAUAGGUAUCAGUAGGUAGUGGACAUUUGGAUAAAGUUUGUGGUAAUUUCCAAUAUCAUUUAUAUUUUGUGAAAAAUUUCAAAUUUCAAAUCAUGUUAAUGUUGCUUUUUUUCUUGAAAGUUGAAUGCAUAGUUUUGCAGGGAAAAUGAGUUAGAUUCAAACAUUGAAUCAAGAACUAUU